CACGUAGGAGGCAAACGUUAUCCGGAUUUACUGGGCGUAAAGCGCGUGUAGGUGGUUCUGUAAGUAGGGCGUGAAAGCUCCCGGCUCAACUGGGAGAGGCCGUUCUAAACUGCAGAACUAGAGGAUGGUAGAGGGAGGUGGAAUUCCAGGUGUAGCGGUGGAAUGCGCAGAUAUCUGGAGGAACACCAGUGGCGAAAGCGGCCUCCUGGACCAUUCCUGACACUCAGACGCGAAAGCUAGGGUAGCAAACGGG
rnacentral:rRNA from 1 species